rnacentral:lncRNA from 1 species
GAUGAUCCAGCAAUUUUGCUUCUUGGGUAUAGAUACCCAAAAGAAUUGAAAGCAGGGACUCAAACAGAUACUUGUACACCCAUGUUCAUAGCAACAAUAUUCCCAACAGCCAAAAGGUGACAACCCAAAUGUCCAUCUAGAGAUGACAUAUAUAUAUAUGCCACAUUUUGUAUAUGUAUGUUUUAUAUAUAUAUAUAUGCAUAACAUUGCAUUUAUACACACACACACACACACACACACACACACACUGUAUUAUUCAGCCUUAAAAAGGAAUGAAUAAUGACUGCUACAACAUGGGUGAGCCUUGAAAACGUAAGUGAAAUAAGCCAGGUACAACGACAUGAUUCCACUCUUAGGAGGUAGUGUAGUUAAAUUCAGAGACUCUUAGGGAUUACCAGGGGCUAGGGAGAGGAGAGAAUGGGGAGGUACUAUAUAAUAGGUACAGAAUUUGUUUGAGAUGAUGGAAAUAUUCUGGAAAUAAUAGUUGUACAACUUUGUGCGUGUAAUUAACACCACUGAAUUGUACACUCAUAAUGGCUAAAAGAUUUAUGUAAUGCAUGUUUCUCUACCAUAAAAACGAAAAGCAAAGAGCUCAACAGAUACAAGAGCUCUAAGAUCACAACCAAUCACUGGAAAACCUCGUUUUAAUUUUAAUUCCAGCAUCUACAUUGGACAAUUAGCAUUUGUAAAAACCUUUUCAUGCUUUGAGAACUAAAUGAAAAGACACUCAUGUUGAAAGCUUACCAGAUGCUACUUUUCAGUGUAUGUGCAUUUGUUUUAAACUGAAUGCACUAAGUAGCAUUUGCAGGAUGAACAUGGAUAACAAUACUUGAGGGUUAGAAUUCCUCGCUAUCCAACCACACAUUGUAUUAUACAGGCUGGCGACAACAGCAUCCAUUCUCAUUAGGUAUUUGGAAAUUAUUUUAGUGUCUUGCAUUUGGCCUCACUAUCAAUCACCAUCAAUAGAAAAGUUAUUUCAAACUAGCUCAUUCUAAAUAGACAACUAAGUGGUAGCUUCCAUGAUGUCUUAGGUUCUUUGCGGGGUGGAAGAGCAGGGUAAAUGCUCCCUGCACAUAAUAUACUUAACAUAUUUCAAGUAUCAUUUUACUCUUCAUAUGACAAGUGAGAAAAUGCUGAUUUAUUUAUUUCCUCCCCCUUUGUAGGUGGGAAAUAGAAGGCAUUUGAGCUGAGAUAUUACGACGCCAAAACCUUUAUCAGCUUCUCCAAAUAUUAUUUGCACUCUUCCACUUUAUUUAUUUUUCUUUUUAGGGCCGCACGUGUAGCAUAUGAAAAGUGUCCAGCUGCAGCUCCAGCUCUGAUUUGACCUCUAGCCUAGGGAUCCUGGGGACUUCCAUGUGCCUGGAGUGUGGCCCUAAGAAGCAAAAAAAAAAAAAGUUUAAAGAAGGCAGAGCUGACCCCCACAAUGAUGCAAGAAGUGGCUUUCUAGUCACCCACAGGACAUAUGACAAUGUGGAGGGGGUCAGGAAUUUGGUUUGCUCAGAUAGCCAAUUUAACUGUAAAAAAAUAGCUGAAAAGCUAAAUUUAGACAGUCAAGACUCAUUCUGAAAGAAAGCUUGCUCCGGAGGGAAAAAAAUCCUAGCUGUUGUGGUUGAUGAUCCUGUAGAGAGAGGCCAAACCAAAACAGAGUUUCACUGGAACCACCACUUGGGUGGAUAUUCAGGGCAGUCCUACAAUUUUUUUCAUUGGUCUUGGAGGAACAAAAAUGAGCUGAGCUUCCUCAUUUUUCAUCAGCUCUAUAGGUACAAUGAUUUAAGCAGAGUGAAACCUUUAGAGUCGAGUGUGACAAAGUAGAGAGCAUAGGGCUAGUUUAUUGGGAGGAUCCUAGCAAAUCGUUAGCUCCGAAUGAGCAGCUAAACAUGGGAGCAUUUCUCUUAUUUCAAGCUGAGCUCAUUUGAGUAACAAGUAGGUUACCUGCAGGCUGGGAGUUACACUGUCAACAGGGAGCUAGAGCUCAAUGUUACUCUUUGUUUUUUUUCUUACUGCCAUGGCAGGUGGAAGUUCCUGGGCCAGGAUCAAAACCAAGCCACUACAAGGACAACUCCGGAUCCUUAACCUGCUGCAUCAUAAGAGAUCAGUGUUAUGUAUUGUUAUACAGAAUAGAUGAAAAUGGUUUCACUUUAAACGUUUAAAGAAAAUAAUGCAAGGAAAAGUAUUUCAGAUAUGUUUUUGUGUUAACAUUAGCAUUUUAGUUAAGGAGCUAGUUAAAUCAUGUUCCUCCUCAUAAGAAUAUUGAGUCAACAAGAGUUUAUUUAGGAACUUGGAUCUUUGCUGCCCCAGUUUCCUUACCAGUCUCUAGUAAGAUGCUCUAAUCAGUCAAUAUCUUUAUUGUUGCUGCCCAGAUAAACCAGCAUUACAGACUAUAGAUGACUUAAUCCAGGGCCUUGUGGCAGUGACCUCAGAGAACUAGCAUUGCUGCAGAGGUGCAGAUUUGAUCACUGGCCUGGAGGGUGGAUUCACUCCCUUGGUUUACAAGGCAAAAACUUAGAAUAAUUUUUCAUGUUUUCUUAGUUCCUGUUACUGAAUUUUUACAACUUGCAUUUAAGAUGGUGUUUUGUACUAUGUAAUAAAGUAUAUACGUACUUGACAUCCUAAUAAACCAUACAUUCUGUUUUGAUAA